rnacentral:rRNA from 1 species
AGUGAACGCUGGCGGUAGGCCUAACACAUGCAAGUCGAACGGCAGCACAGUAAGAGCUUGCUCUUACGGGUGGCGAGUGGCGGACGGGUGAGGAAUACAUCGGAAUCUACUUUUUCGUGGGGGAUAACGUAGGGAAACUUACGCUAAUACCGCAUACGACCUACGGGUGAAAGCAGGGGAUCUUCGGACCUUGCGCGAUUGAAUGAGCCGAUGUCGGAUUAGCUAGUUGGCGGGGGAAAGGCCCACCAAGGCGACGAUCCGUAGGUGGUCUGAGAGGAUGGACACCCCCACUGGGAGAGGACACCGGGCCAAACCCCCACGGGGAGGAAGAGGGGGGGAAAUUUGAGAAAGGGGCGAAAGCCUGACCCACCCAACCCGGGGGGGGGAAAAAGGCCUUGGGUUUGUAAAGCCUUUUUUUUGGGAAAAAAAAGCAGCAGGUUAAUACCCCGCUGUUCUGACGGUCCCCAAAGAAUAAGCACCGGCUAACUUCGG